GAAGAGAGAGUUCAAGAGUACGUGAAACUGCUCAGAGGCAAACGGGUGGGCCCUCGAAAUCCCACCGCGGAGGGAUUCAGUCUCGAGGCCGGGACGCCGUGGCCGGUCUUCGGACCCGUAGCCAGGCCGGACGGCGACGGAGAGUCCCGGCGGCGCGACGCACUUCCCUCCGCGCAGAGGACGCCGCAACCGGUCGGGUAGCAGCGAGAGUCGGCCAUGAGGGUCCGCGCCGGCAGGUGGCCGGGGAGACGGCUCCGGCCGCGUUCCCCGGUCGUUAGCCAGCGGACGCCGCGGCGCGACACCCGACCGAGGCCGAAGUUUUCCUUCGGGGAAACCAGCCGCGCCCUGUCGUAGAUCAGCGGGGCCCACGGCACGCGCGUCGCCGCUCAGCCGCGUCACUCCGAGAGUGGUCGGCGUUCGGCGGAGGUGGUUGGCCGGGGCGUGCCCGCAAACGGGCGCUCACGGUUGGCGGCGAGCAGGUCGGUCACCCACCCGACCCGUCUUGAAACACGGACCAAGGAGUCUAACAUGUGCGCGAGUCACGGGGUCUUGCCUAGGCCCAGGGGCGCAAUGAAAGUGGAAGUAUAAACUAUCGGGACUCGGAGCCCCGCGGCUCCGACGCACCGACGGCCCGUCCGAUCCGCCACGUGCGGACGGGCGGAGUCGGAGCGCACACGUUGGGACCCGAAAGAUGGUGAACUAUGCCCGGGCAGAACGAACCCAGAGGAAACUCUGGUGGAGGUUCGCAGCGGUUCUGACUGGAAAUCGAUCGUCAGACCCGGGUAUA
rnacentral:rRNA from 1 species